AUUGAACGCUGGCGGCAGGCUUAACACAUGCAAGUCGAGCGAGCGGCUGACGGGUGAGUAAUUUCCGGGAAACUGCCUGAUGGAGGGGGAUAACUACUGGAAACGGUAGCUAAUACCGCAUACCAUCAGAUGUGCCCCGAUGGGAUUAGCUAGUAGGUGGGGUAAUGGCUCACCUAGGCGACGAUCCCUCGCUGGUCUGAGAGGAUGACCAGCCAAGCUGGAACGGAGACACGGUCCAGACUCCUACGGGAGGAAGCAGUGGGGAAUAUGGCACAAGGGGCGCAAGCCUGAUGAAGCCAUGCCGCGUGUGUGAAGAAGGCCUUCGGGUUGUAAAGCACUUUCAGCGAGGAGGCGUUACUCGCAGAAGAAGCACCGACUAACUCCGUGCCAGCAGCCGCGGUAAUUC
rnacentral:rRNA from 1 species